UACGUAGGGGGCGAGCGUUGUCCGAAGUUACUGGGCGUAAAGAGUGCGUAGGCGGCUUGACAAGUUGCAUCUAAAAGGCGACAGCUCAACUGACGAGUGCGGUGCAAGACUGUAAAGCUUGAGGCAAGCAAAAGAAUGUGGAACUCCGAGUGUAGCGGUGGAAUGCGUAGGAAGAUUCGGAAGAACACCCAUGGCGAAGGCAGCCAUUCUGGGC
rnacentral:rRNA from 1 species